rnacentral:sRNA from 18 species
GUCCACGUAACCGAACGGUUACCGUAUGGUGGCUUGGUUAGUUACGCUAGUCUAGGUUGCGAGGGCGCUU